rnacentral:rRNA from 1 species
CAAAUUUUAAAUCUACCUGGUUUCCAGGUCGAGUUGUAAUUUGAAGAAGUGUUUUUUACUUUCCGGGUUGGGUUAAAUCCUUUGGGAUAAGGUAUCAUGGAGGGUGAGAAUCCCGUGUAUACCAACCGCAGGAUYGUUUAAUAUACACUUUCUAAGAGUCGAGUUGUUUGGGAAUGCAGCUCUAAAUGGGUGGUAAAUUUCACCUAAUGCUAAAUAUAAGCGAGAGACCGAUAGCGAACAAGUACCGUGAGGGAAAGAUGAAAAGAACUUUGAAAAGAGAGUUAAAUAGUACGUGAAAUUGUUGAAAGGGAAACGGUUGAAGUCAGUCAUGCCGGCGGGAAUCAACUUAGGGGAAACUCUGAGUGCACUUCUUCGCUUGGCAGGUUAGCGUCGAUUUUGGAUGUCAUAAAAUGACUGGGGGAAGGUAGCUCUUUCGGGAGUGUUAAGCCCUURGUAGAUGUGAUGUCCGGGAUCGAGGAUUGCAACGGAUACCUUUUGGGCUAACCGCCUAGUCUCUAAUACGAAGUUGGGUUAUGGACAGCACGCUGACUGUGAUCUGAUUUUCGGUUAAAAGAAUUA